rnacentral:rRNA from 1 species
AGAAUCAACGCUGGCGGCGUGCCUAACACAUGCAAGUCGCACGAGAAAGGGGAGCAAUCCCUGAGUACAGUGGCGCACGGGUGAGUAACACGUGAAUAAUCUACCUCCGAGUGGGGAAUAACUGAGAGAAAUCUUAGCUAAUACCGCAUAACACUUACGAGUCAAAGCAGCAAUGCGCUUGGAGAGGAGUUCGCGGCCGAUUAGUUAGUUGGCGGGGUAAUGGCCCACCAAGACGAUGAUCGGUA